GAUGAACGCUGGCGGCGUGCCUAAUACAUGCAAGUCGAGCGAACGGACGAGAAGCUUGCUUCUCUGAUGUUAGCGGCGGACGGGUGAGGAACACGUGGAUAACCUACCUAUAAGACUGGGAUAACUUCGGGAAACCGGAGCUAAUACCGGAUAAUAUUUUGAAACGCAUGGUUCAAAAGUGAAAGACGGUCUUGCUGUCACUUAUAGAUGGAUCCGCGCUGCAUUAGCUAGUUGGUAAGGUAACGGCUUACCAAGGCAACGAUGCAUAGCCGACCUGAGAGGGUGAUCGGCCACACUGGAACUGAGACACGGUCCAGACUCCUACGGGAGGCAGCAGUAGGGAAUCUUCCGCAAUGGGCGAAAGCCUGACGGAGCAACGCCGCGUGAGUGAUGAAGGUCUUCGGAUCGUAAAACUCUGUUAUUAGGGAAGAACAUAUGUGUAAGUAACUGUGCACAUCUUGACGGUACCUAAUCAGAAAGCCACGGCUAACUACGUG
rnacentral:rRNA from 1 species